AGCAGCCGCGGUAAUUCUAGCUCCAAUAGCGUAUAUUAAAGUUGUUGCAGUUAAAAAGCUCAUAGUUGAAUUUUAGGCUUGACCGGACGGUCCGUCUCUGGCGAGUACUGUUCUGUUGUCGGUCUAUCUUUCUGGUGAGCCGGUAUGUCCUUUAUUGGGUGUGUCGGGGAACCAGAACCAUUACCUUGAAAAAAUUAGAGUGUUUAAAGCGGGCUUUUGCUUGAAUAGAUUAGCAUAGAAUAAUAGAAUAGGACGUUGGUUCUAUUUUGUUGGUCUAGGACCACCGUAAUGAUUAAUAGGGAUAGUUGGG
rnacentral:rRNA from 1 species